rnacentral:misc_RNA from 1 species
UCCGGUUUGGCACCGGCAGUCUCCCUAGAGUUCCCGGCUUUACCCGCUGGUAACUAGGGACAAGGGUUGCGCUCGUUGCGGGACUUAACCCAACAUCUCACGACACGAGCUGACGACAGCCAUGCAGCACCUGUGCAGGAGCUCCGAAGAGAAGCCAGGGUUUCCCCCAGCGGUCCCCUGCAUGUCAAGCCCAGGUAAGGUUCUUCGCGUUGCGUCGAAUUAAACCACAUGCUCCACCGCUUGUGCGGGCCCCCGUCAAUUCCUUUGAGUUUCAGCCUUGCGGCCGUACUCCCCAGGCGGGGCACUUCAUGCGUUAGCGCCGGCCCUCACGGGGUCGCUCCCCCAAGGACCUAGUGCCCAUCGUUUACGGCGUGGACUAC